CCACUAUACACGUAAUGUUGUUUGUAUGCCAGUUGCAACACAAACAAAACGAUUUUCGUCACUCGUUUCGCGUUGCAGCUUUGCUCCGAUCUUCGCUCCGUAUCAUCAUGGAUGCAUACAUGAAAUUGGAAUGGUCGAAGCAGAACCGGCGCAGCGAGCAGCGCCUGCUGGAGUACUUCGCAAUCGAUUUUUCCCAGUACGAGGAAGACAUCUUCAAUCUGCACAUCAAUGAGACGGAUACGGUGCACCAGCUGGGCGAUACCUUCAGAGAGGAGCAUCAGGACAACGGUGAAUCGACGGCGCUGCUAGAAUAUCCGGUUGAUCCCCGCACGGGACGACAGGUGAGAGAGUUGGAAAUCGAUACGACCAAAAGGGUGGGUUUGUACGAUGAUUUUCCCAGUGGUUCUCAAUUGAGCCGUGCAGACCACCAGCACUGUCUAAAAGUUCUGAACCGUAUCAAUAUGCGGCUGGCAUUCGAAAGCACUGAGGAUCGCAAGGCGUUGGAAAGGUACCGGACAUUGAUGAAGAGAUUGGAGAACGAGCGAAAACUGUUUGAAAGCUUUGUGAAGAAUUAUUUCAAUAGUAACUUGGUGUGUAGGAAGAGUUCGAUCGACAAGGAGUUGGACGAUUUAGUUGUGGCAAUUUGGAAGGGGAAAGUCGGAAGGAUAUUGGAUGGUUUUGCGGAUAAAAGGUACAUGCUGGCGACCGCAGUAAUAUGGCUUAAUUAUAAGCAGCACGAGAGGAAUGUGCGAUUUGAGCCAGUUUCUGAAGAUGUGGUGGAAUUUGGGGUAGUGAAGAAUAUAUUCACCGAGUCCCUCUUGCAGUGUGACACUUUGAGGCGGAAUCAACGAAUUUUGGAUGCUUUUUUUGAAGAUCAGCACCGGGCGCAUCCGGUGGAUGAUAACGCCGAGUUAAAGACAAUACUGCAGCAGGAUGAAGAUAUCCGUUUCGUAACUAACUCGGGGACGCUUGCCUAUCUUCUUAAUUGUGCAAGUAACAUGGAAGAGCAAUGGAUGGUUCCUUUCAAAAUUGAAGUAAUUGAAGGACGGAAUGUGAUUUUCAUUGACAGAAAACUUCAGCCAAUAAAAAUGCUUACCCAUGAUAGGAAUAUAAAGGCUCACAAGUACUUGGUACGCAGCUUUAUGUCGAUUGUUAGAAAAGAUAAUCCUUUGAAUGUUAGUCGGGAAGCUGAUGGAGAGAAGGAUACUGAAUGUACAGUCAAAACUGAGUUCAAAGUAGUAGGAUUUGAUGAAUAUCUUCAGUCGAUUGCAGAGGCGUCAAAAUUGAAGCCACAUCCGCAUAGGAAUAGUCGUCUACAGUUGUGGAAAUUGCAGGAAGGUGAUGAUCAGUAUAGAUUUUUGGUGAGGUCCCGUAUGGAUUGUUAUGAAUCUCUACGAAAAGUAAAAUUCUACAUCAACAUUUCGAUCAAACUGGAGUAUCAAGCUGAGUUUGGCGCAGAACAAAUGACCAUGAAUGAGCUGAUUCAUGAAUGGGCGCGACAGUACCUCCGACCGAACUCGAAAACCCUUCGAUUGCGGAUUAACGCCGCUACACAUGCCAUCGUGUCGCACCACUAUUUGGAGUUGAAAGACAUUGAAGAAGAAUUGAAACGCUCGUACAACAUCGAUCCAGCUAAUCUUAUUACUAAUCUUUGGCAAACCUUGAAACUUCUUCUAAACUUUCCGCCAGGAGAGCACAUCCUACAACACGACCUCAAAAACAAGGAAACAGUAAAUGUCCUAUCCAUCAACACAUCCACGAACCCAACCUGUUCUUCCAUUAGCCUGGCAGACCUUUACUCGAACGUCGAAUAUGACCGACCGGCAGUCGAAUGCUACGAAUGGAUUCCCAUCGACAAAUCUGUGAUAACUCAAAUGCACAGAGAGAACACACUCCUACCGUGCACCUUUCCUCACUGGGUCUCCGUCAAGCGUAUUACUUCCCGCGAAACGCUGAAAGCCAAACGACCUCCCCCGGUUCCCACCGUAACCUCGGAAUCGAAACCCAAAAAGAAGAAAUCCAAAGCGAGCCGCGUUCGUAAAAAGCUCAAAGAUCGCGAAAAUAAAGCGCAGGAACGGAAGCAUCAACAUUUCGUACAAGAAGUCCAACAAUCGUUGAAUCAUUUCGCUCCCUACGAAGGUCCUUCGCGAAGCCGCCGUUCAGUUGACAAUGACGCGAACAAAAAGGCCAGCAGCGUCACUCGUGCGAAAAGCCGGGAAUCCCUUGACUAUCAAUUGUACGUGAACCAGGUCAGCGGAAGUGGAAAAUAAGAAGACCAAUAAACUAAAAAUGGAAAACUGUUU